UGCUACCGGGUCAUGCCGAGCACUCUGAAAGGACUGCCCAGGAGAACGGGGAGGAAGGUGGGGAUGACGUCAAGUCAGCAUGGCCUUUAUGCCUGGGGCCACACACGUGCUACAAUGGCCGGUACAAAGCGCUGCAAACCUGCAAGGGGAAGCCAAUCGCAAAAAACCGGCCUCAGUUCAGAUUGAGGUCUGCAACUCGACCUCAUGAAGGCGGAAUCGCUAGUAAUCGCGGAUCAGCACGCCGCGGUGAAUACGUUCCCGGGCCUUGUACACACCGCCCGUCACACCACGAAAGCCUGUUGUACCUGAAGUCGCCCAAGCCAACCGCAAGGAGGCAGGCGCCCACGGUAUGGCCGGUGAUUGGGGUG
rnacentral:rRNA from 1 species